rnacentral:rRNA from 1 species
CACACGACUCUCGGCAACGGAUAACCCGGCUCUCGCAUCGAUGAAGAACGUAGCGAAAUGCGAUACCUGGUGUGAAUUGCAGAAUCCCGUGAACCAUCAAGUCUUUGAACGCAAGUUGCGCCCGAGGCCAUCCGGCCGAGGGCACGCCUGCCUGGGCGUCACGC